rnacentral:misc_RNA from 1 species
AUCUUUACACGAAAUUUAAGCUCAAAAAAUAUUUUGUCAGAUUACACUAAGGUAAUUUACUUGUGCAAGUGUGCGCGACGUUGGAUGAAAGAUACGUAUAGGAGUAGGAAUACAUAUUCUUAAAUUACACCAAGAUAGAUAUAUCUCAGCUGUCAGAUGAUGAAUUAACGAUCAAUAGUUUUCAUGUGUAUAUAUUAGCAAUAUUUACUUAAUUAAAUAAUUUUUAAUUUUUUCAAGAACAGCAUUAGUGAGUUAUUUAUUUCAAAGUACGUAAUUUGAUUGAAGAACAACUAUAUAUGACCUAAAGACAACAGUGUGGUUUUCCUCUUGAUGUUGUCACUUAGCAGACGAAAGAUCAAAUUUAAGAGAAGUGUUUUACUAAAAUGAUCUCUUUAUUUAUCUCUCUUGUUCUUGAUGACUCAUAAAACCAGCUCUUAAAACAAUAGUUUUCAGUGAAAUUUCAUUUUUAUUCCUAAAAUAAGUAGUAGUGAAUAAAAAGUGGCCAAGAUGUUGGAGGCUUACGGAGCUACUCUGAUGCUCAAGCUUGGAGUGCAAAUUGAGUCCAUGACAGCUUACGAUGAUUAUUUGUUGAUUGGCACUAGAGAAGGCCACUUGUUGAUGUACAACGUAGCUGAUGCAAAAGAUGGUGAAAACAAAAGUCCAUCGCUUUACAGAUACAGCAAAAACUUUAGCAAAAAGCGUAUCGUACAAAUUGCAGUAGUUCCCGAGUACAACUUGUUGCUGCUUUUGACAGAUAACAUAGUGUGUAUUCACGAUUUGAAUUCAACAAAUCUUAAUCAAAUCGGUCAGUUGCAAAAAACGAAGGGAGCUACGUUGUUUGCAUUGGAUAUUCAGAGACACGAAACCAUGACUGGAGAAAAGAAAGCUGUUGUUAGAUUGUGCGUUGCAGUAAAGAGAAAACUGCAGCUGUAUUAUUGGAAAAGCAAGACUAAGUCUUUUGAGGAGUUUUUCAGUCCAAAAGUAGCUGGUUCAGAAGAGUUUUUCAGUAAAGAUGAGCUACUCCAACCAUCUGGUUCGGACAUGCCUAGAGAAUUGUCAGUUCCUGAUGUUCCCAGAGAGUUGGCUUGGUGCGGAGAAACGUUGGUUCUGGGCUUCCGAGGUUUUUCUUACACUCUGAUGGACUUUCUUGGUAAAUCCAAAGAACUCUUUCCAACUGGAAAAUCUCCAGAACCUAGUAUUUCUAAAAUAUCCGAUAGUUCAUUUGUUCUGGGAAAAGAUUCCCAAUCUGUUAUUAUGGAUACCAAAGGCGAAUUGAUACAGCACAAUCCCAUCAAGUGGUCCGACUUACCAACAGCCCUAGUGUGGGACGAUCCUUACUUGUUGGGCAUAGUCCACAAUUCAUUGGAAAUUUAUACUUUGGACAAUUGUAUGCAUAUUCAAACAAUUCCUGAUCUCAACAAUGCACGGUUGAUUUGUAGAUGCAAGCAGGGAAAAGUUUACGUAGCGUCGAUAAGCCAAGUGUGGUGUAUUAGUGGUACUGACUUUACGCAGCAAAUUCGAAUAUUAUUGGAACAAAGUCAGUUCCAACUAGCUCUCAAACUUACUAACUUGUCAGAUUUGUCAGAGGAAGAAAAAGCAAAGAAAACAUACAAAAUACAAACACAUUACGCUCAUCAUCUGUUUCGGAACAAGAAAUUCCGCGAAGCAAUGGAGCAAUUUUUAAAGCUGGGCACCAACCCGUACGACGUGAUCCGUCUGUUUCCCGAUCUUGUGUCGCAAGAACCGAACGUGAAUGAACAAAGUGAUCUUGAACCGCAGUUGCCGAAACUUCAAGACCGCGAUUUAGAGAGCGGUUUGCUGGCUCUCAUAGAUUUUUUGACGGAAGUCAGAUACAAAUUGAUCAAUGAUAGUCAAGCUAAAGCUAACGAAAAGUCGAAAGGAAAAUCCAUUCCAACUGAAAAAUCGAAAAACACAGCUACUGAUAAAUUGUUGAAAAUCAUAGACACAACUUUGCUUAAGUGUUAUUUGCAGACAAAUGAUGCUUUAGUUGCGCCUCUGUUGAGACUGAAUCAUUGCCAUCUGGCAGAAGCCGAAAAGACUUUACUUCAGCACCAAAAAUAUCCAGAACUAAUUAUUUUGUACCAAACCAAAGGCCAGCAUAAAAAAGCACUGGAACUACUUGAAGAGCAGGCAAAAGAAAAUGAUUCAAGUCUCAAGGGGACCGAAAGAACGAUUCAAUAUCUCCAGCAUCUUGGUAAAGACCACAUGGACUUGAUUUUAAAGUUUGCUGGCUGGGUACUGGAACAAGAACCUGGAGAAGGUCUACGAAUCUUUAUGGAAGAUGUGCAGGAAGUAGAACAAUUGCCGAGACCUAAAGUACUUGACUAUCUUCUCCGCUGUCACAAGGAUUUGGCAGUCCAAUACUUGGAGCACGUGGUACAUGUCUGGGAAGACGAUAAUCCCCUGUUCCACAACGUGUUGGUGCAUCAAUACAAGGACAGGUGUCUAGCUGCGACGUCACCAACAGCAACUCCGGCAGAAAAGCAAAAUAUCCAGCAUGUCCGCCAAAAGCUGCAACAGUUUCUUGAAAAGUCGCAACACUACACGCCGGAAACUGUACUCAGGGAUUUCCCGUUUAAUUGUCUGUACGAGGAGCGCGCUAUUAUUCUAGGUAGACUAGGUCGACAUAAGCAAGCUGUGUCGAUAUACAUCAACUUGUUGAACGACGUGCCGAAAGCCAUACAGUACUGCAACAAUGUUUACGCUAGAUAUCAAAGUCAGAGUCAGACUGAGAAAAGUAAGCCGGCAAACAGCAGUGCAGCUGAAGUGUACAUAACGUUGAUUCGACAGCUCCUGAAUCCUAACGAAAGCGACACCGAGUUGCCGUCACUCGUUGAAUCCCAGCAAGCUCGCACAGCUCUACCGGACCUCGAAACUGCCCUGGAACUACUCGAAGAGCACGCCUCGAAGAUCGAACCGAUAAAAGCCAUCGAAGCCCUUCCCGAUUCGGUGCCAGUCGGACGUAUACGUCAUUUUCUCGAGGCAAGCAUGCAGAACAACAUCAACGAGAAGCGAAAGAUGCAGGUGCUGAAGGGAUUGUUGUACGCGGAGCAUCUCCAGGUGCAAGAGCAGCGCAUGCAUUACGAGUCACAAAGUGUCCUCAUGACCGAGUUCAACAUAUGUCCUGUCUGCAAGAAGAGGUUUGGCAAGCAAAGUGCCUUCGCGAGGUAUCCCAAUGGUGAAAUUGUCCACUAUUCCUGUCAGCGCAAAGUGUAAGACUCGAAAUGAUGAUUUAAAUGCCAACUCCAACUUCAUCUUGCAUAUAAUUAAAUUACAAAUCAUCGCUGAACCGCUAGAUUUCAGAACCUCGACGCACUUUCAUUGGUGUCCACAUGGUUUUAUUAUUAUAACAUUACUGUGAAAAUAAUAAUUUCAAAGUUAUCAUUUUCUCUAUAAUGAUUAUAUUAUAAG